GCGAAUCAUGCAACACCAAGAAGAAACCUAUCAAGCUAGCAAAGAAAUGCCCCUCUGCAUAGCGAAGAAACGCAUCGAAUGUAAUCACCAACUCUGCAACAAUGCACAAUGCAUCUAUUUUGCAUUUCAACAGGCUAGGCUCUGGUUUGGUCACCAAACAGCACCCCAGGUAACAAAACUGGUUGGACACGCUCAUAGAUGGACUUCGC
rnacentral:lncRNA from 1 species